CCCAAGAGAUCGGGAUAACACCUGGAAACAGAUGCUAAUACCGGAUAACAACAGAUGAUGCCUAUCAACUGUUUAAAAGAUGGUUCUGCUAUCACUCUUGGAUGGACCUGCGGUGCAUUAGCUAGUUGGUAGGGUAACGGCCUGCCAAGGCGAUGAUGCAUAGCCGAGUUGAGAGACUGAUCGGCCACAUUGGGACUGAGACACGGCCCAAACUCCUACGGGAGGCAGCAGCU
rnacentral:rRNA from 1 species